AAGUCGUAACAAGGUUUCCGUAGGUGAACCUGCGGAAGGAUCAUUAUCGAACAGGAUUGUUGCUGGCUAGGUCAUUCUAGCAAUGUGCACAUCCAUAUUUUUCAAUACACACACCCAGUGCACCUUUAUUGUAGAUCGCAAGAUCUAUGUUUUUUUCAUAAUCCAAUUGGCAUGUCUACAGAAUGUGUUACCUAUUUUAUUACAACUUUCAGCAAUGGAUCUCUUGGUUCUC
rnacentral:misc_RNA from 1 species